AUUAAUAAAAUAUUAUUAUUAUUUUAUUAUUUAAAAUUUUAUUUUAAAAAUUAAUAUUAUUUUAUUAUUCCAAAAUAAUAAUAAAAUAUUUUUUUAUUUUAUUAUUAUUUUAAUAUUAUUAAUAAUAUUUUAUAAUAUUUUCUACCCACAGUAUUGCCACCCCUCAUUUUGCUGGAGGCCUGCUUCCAUGGUGCAUCCAUAUGAGGAUGGUUUGGAGGAGGAA
rnacentral:lncRNA from 1 species